AGUUACCAGCACGUUAUGGUCGGGCACUCUAAGGAGACUGCCGGUGACAAACCGGAGGAAGUGGGGAUGACGUCAAGUCAUCAUGGCCCUUACGGCCUGGGCUACACACGUGCUACAAUGGUCGGUACAAAGGGUUGCCAAGCCGCGAGGUGGAGCUAAUCCCAUAAAACCGAUCGUAGUCCGGAUCGCAGUCUGCAACUCGACUGCGUGAAGUCGGAAUCGCUAGUAAUCGUGAAUCAGAAUGUCACGGUGAAUACGUUCCCGGGCCUU
rnacentral:rRNA from 1 species